AUUGAACGCUGGCGGCAUGCCUUACACAUGCAAGUCGAACGGUAACAGGUCUUCGGAUGCUGACGAGUGGCGAACGGGUGAGUAAUACAUCGGAACGUGCCCGAUCGUGGGGGAUAACGGAGCGAAAGCUUUGCUAAUACCGCAUAAGAUCUACGGAUGAAAGCAGGGGACCGCAAGGCCUUGCGCGAACGGAGCGGCCGAUGGCAGAUUAGGUAGUUGGUGGGAUAAAAGCUUAACAAGCCGACGAUCCGUAGCUGGUCUGAGAGGACGACCAGCAACACUGGGAGUGAGACACGGCCCAGACGCCUACGGGAGGCAGCAGUGGGGAAUUUUGGACAAUGGGCGCAAGCUGGAUCCAGCCAUGCCGCGUGCAGGAUGAAGGCCUUCGGGUUGUAAACUGCUUUUGUACGGAACGAAAAGACUCUUUCUAAUAAAGAGAGUCCAUGACGGUACCGUAAGAAUAAGCACCGGCUAACUACGAGCCAGCAGCCGCCGUAAGAC
rnacentral:rRNA from 1 species